UACGUAGGGUGCGAGCGUUAAUCGGAAUUACUGGGCGUAAAGCGUGCGCAGGCGGUGAUGUAAGACAGGUGUGAAAUCCCCGGGCUUAACCUGGGAACUGCAUUUGUGACUGCAUCGCUGGAGUGCGGCAGAGGGGGAUGGAAUUCCGCGUGUAGCAGUGAAAUGCGUAGAUAUGCGGAGGAAUACCGAUGGCGAAGGCAGCCCCCUGGGAUAACACUGACGCUCAUGCACGAAAGCGUGGGGAGCAAACAGG
rnacentral:rRNA from 1 species